rnacentral:rRNA from 1 species
CCUACGGGAGGCAGCAGUGAGGAAUCUUGGUCAAUGGCCGAGAGGCUGAACCAGCCACGCCGCGUGAGGGAAGAAUGUCCUAUGGAUUGUAAACCUCUUUUGUCAGGGAGCAAAGUCACCCACGUGUGGGUGUUGGAGAGUACCUGACGAAAUAGCAUCGGCAACCCCCGUGCCAGCAGCCGCGGUAAUACGGGGGCUGAGAGCGUUAUCCGGAUUUAUUGGGUUAAAAGGGUGCGAAGGCGGGUUAUCAAGUCAGCGGUAAAAUCGUGGACCGCAACUCCGUCCAGCCGUUGAGACUGCUGAUCUAGAGUGAGCGAGAGGGAUGCGGAAUGCGUGGUGUAGCGGUGAAAUGCGUAGAUAUCAGGCAGAACACCGGUGGCGAAGGCAGCAUACUGG